rnacentral:misc_RNA from 1 species
AACGCACCUUGCGCUCUCUGGUAUUCCGGAGAGCAUGCCUGUUCGAGUGUCGUAACCCUCUCAAUCCAACUGGUCUUUAUUGACUAUGCUGGAUUGGACUUGGGCUCUGCCGUGUUACAACGGCUAGCCUUAAAAGUAUUAGCUGAAUCUAGUCGUAGACUGGUUUGACUCGGCGUGAUAAUUAUCUGACCGCUGAGGACAUCGCAAGAUGGCCAGACAAGACAACGAAUCGCUUCUAAUCGUCGUUUUAUGCGACAAUUUACCACACCUUUGACCUCGGAUCAGGUAGGACUACCCGCUGAACUUAA